UUCCUCCUACGGGACGCAGCAGUGGGGAAUAUUGCACAAUGGGGGAAACCCUGAUGCAGCAACGCCGCGUGAGUGAAGAAGUAUUUCGGUAUGUAAAGCUCUAUCAGCAGGGAAGAAGAGGACGGUACCUGAUUAAGAAGCCCCGGCUAACUACGUGCCAGCAGCCGCGGUAAUACGUAGGGGGCAAGCGUUAUCCGGAUUUACUGGGUGUAAAGGGCGUGUAGGCGGGCCUGCAAGUCAGAAGGGAAAUCUGGGGGCUUAACCCCCAAACUGCUUUUGAAACUGUGGGUCUUGAGUGAUGGAGG
rnacentral:rRNA from 1 species